rnacentral:misc_RNA from 1 species
AAGUCGUAACAAGGUUUCCGUAGGUAUGUUAUCGGUCUCUCCGUCUCUCGUCUACGUCUUCGAUACUAACGUGCUCUCUCAGGUGAACCUGCGGAAGGAUCAUUACCGAGUUGGGGUGUGCUUCACCGCCGCCCGACCUCCCAACCCUAUGUUUUAACCGACCUCUGUUGCUUCGGCGAGCCGUCUCUCUCUCUAGAGAGCGCCGGGGGUUUCCCCCUGGAGAGUUGCUCGUCGAUGGUCCAUUUCUAAACUCUUUGAAAUAUCUGUACCUGUCUAAAACUACUUGAUUGUCCAAAAUGAUCAAAUAAAACUUUCAACAACGGAUCUCUUGGUUCCG